rnacentral:rRNA from 1 species
CACGGAGGCCCCGAGCGUUGUUCGGAAUUACUGGGCGUAAAGAGUGCGUAGGCGGCGAGGCAAGUCAGAUGUGAAAGCCCGGGGCUCAACCCCGGAAUUGCAUCCGAAACUGCCUUGCUUGAGGGUUGGAGAGGAGACUGGAAUUCACGGUGUAGCAGUGAAAUGCGUGGAUAUCGUGAGGAAGACCAAUGGCGAAGGCAGGUCUCUGGACAACUCCUGACGCUGAGGCACGAAGGCCAGGGGAGCGAAAAGG